rnacentral:rRNA from 1 species
ACGGAAGGCAGCAGUGAGGAAUAUUGGUCAAUGGGCGGAAGCCUGAACCAGCCAAGUCGCGUGAAGGAUGAAGGUAUUAUGUAUUGUAAACUUCUUUAGUCGCAGGGAAAUAAGGCGGACGCGUCCGCUGAUGCUAGUAUGCGAAGAAUAAGGAUCGGCUAACUCCGUGCCAGCAGCCGCGGUAAUACGGAGGAUCCGAGCGUUAUCCGGAUUUAUUGGGUUUAAAGGGUGCGCAGGCGGCUUUUUAAGUCAGUGGUCAAAUCGUGGGGCUCAACCCCAUCCCGCCAUUGAUACUGGAGAGCUUGAUUGCGGUCGAGGUUGGCGGAAUUCGUCGUGUAGCGGUGAAAUGCAUAGAUAUGACGAAGAACACCGAUUGCGUAGGCAGCUGACCAGGCCGUAAAUGACGCUCAUGCACGAAAGUGCGGGGAUCGGACAGGAUUAGAUACCCUGGUA